rnacentral:rRNA from 1 species
GACGAACCGAGCGAACGUUGUUCGGAAUCACUGGGCUUAAAGGGCGCGUAGGCGGGCUGUCAAGUCUGGGGUGAAAUCCCACGGCUCAACCGUGGAACUGCCUUAGAUACUGACGGCCUCGAGGGAGAUAGGGGCGAGCGGAACUGUGAGUGGAGCGGUGAAAUGCGUUGAUAUUCACAGGAACUCCGGUGGCGAAGGCGGCUCGCUGGAUCUUUUCUGACGCUGAGGAACGAAAGCUAGGGGAGCAAACGGG